UGGCGGACGGGUGAGUAACGCGUGGGUAUCUGUCUCUGGGUGGGGGAUAACCGUGGGAAACUACGGCUAAUACCGCAUGACACCUGAGGGUCAAAGGCGCAAGCCGCCUGGAGAGGAGCCCGCGUACGAUUAGCUUGUUGGCGGGGUAAUGGCCCACCAAGGCGACGAUCGUUAGCUGGUCUGAGAGGAUGAUCAGCCACACUGGGACUGAGACACGGCCCAG
rnacentral:rRNA from 1 species